rnacentral:rRNA from 1 species
AUUGAACGCUGGCGGCAGGCCUAACACAUGCAAGUCGAGCGGAGCGGCGGACGGGUGAGUAAUGCCUAGGAAUCUGCCUGGUAGUGGGGGAUAACUCCCGGAAACGGGCGCUAAUAUCGCAUACUAUCAGAUGAGCCUAGGUCGGAUUAGCUAGGUGGUGGGGUAAAGGCCGACCAAGGCGACGAUCCGUAACUGGUCUGAGAGGAUGAUCAGUCAGACUGGAACUGAGACAAGGUCCAGACUCCUACGGGAGGCAGCAGUGGGGAAUAUUGGACAAUGGGCGAAAGCCUGAUCCAGCAAUGCCGCGUGAGUGAAGAAGGUCUUCGGAUUGGAAAGCACUUUUAGUUGGGAAGCGUUACCAACAGAAUAAGCACCGGCUAACUACGUGCCAGCAGCCGCGGUAAUAC